rnacentral:rRNA from 1 species
CCUACGGGGGGCAGCAGUGGGGAAUAUUGGACAAUGGGGGGAACCCUGAUCCAGCCAUGCCGCGUGUGUGAAGAAGGCCCUCGGGUUGUAAAGCACUUUCAGUGAGGAAGAACGCCUGGUGGUUAAUACCCAUCAGGAAAGACAUCACUCACAGAAGAAGCACCGGCUAACUCCGUGCCAGCAGCCGCGGUAAUACGGGGGGUGCGAGCGUUAAUCGGAAUUACUGGGCGUAAAGCGCGCGUAGGUGGCUUGAUAAGCCGGUUGUGAAAGCCCCGGGCUCAACCUGGGAACGGCAUCCGGAACUGUCAAGCUAGAGUGCAGGAGAGGAAGGUAGAAUUCCCGGUGUAGCGGUGAAAUGCGUAGAGAUCGGGAGGAAUACCAGUGGCGAAGGCGGCCUUCUGGACUGACACUGACACUGAGGUGCGAAAGCGUGGGUAGCAAACAGGAUUAGAUACCCUAGUAGUC